GAAGAGUUUGAUCAUGGCUCAGAUUGAACGCUGGCGGCAGGCUUAACACAUGCAAGUCGAGCGGGGGAAGG
rnacentral:rRNA from 1 species